rnacentral:rRNA from 1 species
GUGGGGAAUAUUGGACAAUGGGCGAAAGCCUGAUCCAGCCAUGCCGCGUGUGUGAAGAAGGUCUUCGGAUUGUAAAGCACUUUAAGUUGGGAGGAAGGGCAGUAAGUUAAUACCUUGCUGUUUUGACGUUACCAACAGAAUAAGCACCGGCUAACUUCGUGACAGCAGCCGCGGUAAUACGAAGGGUGCAAGCGUUAAUCGGAAGUACUGGGCGUAAAGCGCGCGUAGGUGGUUCAGCAAGUUGAAGGUGAAAUCCCCGGGCUCAACCUGGGAACUGCCUCCAAAACUACUGAGCUAGAGUACGGUAGAGGGUAGUGGAAUUUCCUGUGUAGCGGUGAAAUGCGUAGAUAUAGGAAGGAACACCAGUGGCGAAGGCGACUACCUGGACUGAUACUGACACUGAGGUGCGAAAGCGUGGGGAGCAAACAGGAUUAGAUACCCUAGUAGUCC